rnacentral:misc_RNA from 1 species
GCCAAGCAGUUGGUGAUCUGCGUCUAAUGCAUCCAAGUAUGAUGCAUCCAGUAUCUCUCGUUGAGAAUCAUCCAUCGUGUCAAAAGAACAAAAGUGGAGAAAGUAUCCUUCCCAAUGGACAAAGUUGGAGACCCCAAUUACUACUGAUGUGCUACUCAUUGAAGAUUUUAUCAGAANCGAGUUCUAUAACCAAGCCUCUAGAUCCUUCCGAUCACAAGAAGCUGUUUGGCUUAUGGCAACAUCCCCUACCUCUGUCCCACUUGGUGUCUUCUUUAUUGCAGUCUCGCCCUCAUCCAAAAUUCACUGCUGAGCAGGGUGGUGAUGAUGUUGACUCUGAUAUGGAAUUGUUAGAUUUAUCAGAUUCUGAUGAAGAAGAUGAAUAUGACCAGCUUCCACCAUUCAAGCCUUUGAAAAAAUUUCAGGUUAAUAAGCUCAGCAAAGAGCAAAGGAAAGCAUAUUUUGACGAAUAUGAUUAUCGGGUGAAACUUCUCCAAAAGAAGCAAUGGAAAGAGGAGGUGAAAAAGGUGAAGGAGCUCAAGAAGAAAGG